UGAGCACAGAACGCGCGUUGCUUUAGCUCCUGAGAGCUGACAGGCGAGCCUGUGGCCCCGAGAUCCCGGGCUCCAGGGCACCCCCCAAGCAGCCCCUUCCCCUUCUGCGAAGCAACAGAGUAAUAAGAAAUACAGUGAGUGUGACAAGCUUGCAGAAGUGGCUUUCGGAUGGAAUCCAGCCAGGGUUGGUGUGGAUAUUCCAAGUCCUGCCGAGGGAGGGAGAAAGCUGGAUCUCACGAAUCGUCUCCCAACGGGCACAGGUGGGAGAAAAAGGCCCCGAGGGAGAGAGACGCAGAGUGGGCCGGGGCUAAGGUGGCCUGAGAGCGGAGACAGCAGGACCCCGGGGCCCAGCACAGCCGGUCGCGCACACCCUCCGCAGGGGGCUGAUUCCGCGAGACCCCCAGAGCCCCGGGCCCGCCCCUCUCCCCGAUUCCCAUCGUCGCAGGCUCCUGAGAAGAAUGUGGGUCGGGAGCAGCGGUGACCUUUCACACCUCAGACAAGCUAAGUUUGUUUUCUGCUUUUGGUCCGGCCCGCCGCGGGAGGGAGGGGGAAUGCUAGGGGCCUUGUCCGACUUUCGGCGGCGACAAUGCCCCAGAGGAGCUGAAGUGCGGGCAGUAAAGGAUCUAUUUAUUUUGGCCCGGGAGGGACAAUGUAAGCAGAUGGUCUUUGAUGGGAUUAGCGGCGUAAUCUCUAAGACCCUGGUAAAUUGGAAAAUGAUCCAUUAUAUUCCGCCAACCUUUGGCGGCUCCGGCUCCUGGGGAGGGAGGGGCAGGGCCCGGGGGCACCUUGUUAGAAAGGACCCCCCUCUGGGAGCAGCCAAAUCCCGCACGGAGAAUUUGGGAAGAGGUUCGUUAGCUGCGCGCCGCAAGCCUCCCUCCUCCGCAGCGGGCACAGAAAUAAGGCUCCUCCCUGCGCCCCUCCCGAAGCCUCUGUUCUCUCCUCCUCCCCCGCUCCUUGUGGGGGUGCUGGGGUGCCCGGCAGCCAGCCUUGCCACUCCCCGGGUGUUCAGGGGACGGUGGCCUGGGGAGACAGCCACAGUGAGUCAGAAAAGUGUCCUGAGAAUGCAAGUUGUACCCCCCCCCAUUCCCAUCUCCCUCCACUCCCCACCCCUCACCUCCAACGCCACGGUCCCUGAGGGACCUAGUCCACUGCCAGGUACUUCCAGGCCUGGUGAAGAAAGAGGCAGGAGGAGGGGGCAGGGCUGGGGAGGGGGAGGAAUGUGACAGGGGAGGUGAGGUGCUAAUGAACCACCCUGCCCAGCCCACCACACUCUCAACUCACCUCCGUCCCCCAGAGCCCAGGCGCCUCCAGGCCCAGGCGCCCCUCCAUCUGGAGACUCUGGGGGCCGCUGGGGGGGGCAGAGAGGCAACUCCCGGGGGCGUGAGGUGUGGUGCAAUGGGUGGCACUCCCUGGGCUGUCACAGGAGUGCUGUGCAAUGCGCGUGGCAGCUUCGCUCAGACAGCCCUUCGCGGUUUCAAAAGGACCCUCGAGGUGCCCAGUUCCAUCUGGAUCUCCUAACAGCUGCGUGAGGCGGGCGUUCCAAAGAUCAGGAGACGGGUUUAGCGGGGGUCAGGGACUUGCCUAAGGUCACUCAGUUGAGUAAGUGACCCAGCCCCAGGACGGCGACCUGGUACAAGGCUUUUUCCCUUUCUUCUGCACGCACAGAGGUUUAGGUUUUCUACCUGUGCUUUCUGCAGUCAUGUGUGUGUUCACAAACAUGCACAAACACGCGUGCACACACAUGCAUGCACACACAUGCAGAGCACCAGUUUUCUUUGUCCUGUUCUCAGAGACAUGAGCAUCCUGUGAAUUCUAUAUAUGUCUAUUCCACGUGUCUCAACUCUGUACAAAUGGAAUCAUUCACCUUUCAACUUUUCCACUCAACGUCUACUAGGACGUCUCUACUCACUUUGCUAAGCCUAAACUUUUCCUCUACCAACAGCAUUUUAUCCGCUCACCGCCCCCCAUUUAAGAUACUUCCAAAAUUUUGUUAUUAUAACCCAUUCUUUAAUAUAUUUCUGAUUGGAAUUGUGUUAACGUUUUUAGAUUUAGUUUAGGGUAUUAAAAACCAAGGCACAAUCAAAAUAUGCACUCUUCCACACACGGAGCCUCCGUCAUUCUCUGAAGAUAAAUCCAUAAAAAAGCAGAGUGUGGGAGAGGGACAGGCAGAGCGGCAGCAUGGAAUGCCCACUUCCGAAUGGACAUCCCAGCACUCUGGAGUGUAUCAUCUGUCACGGCCAAAGCCAGGGCAGGUAACUUGGGGAUGCUCCCGAUGAAGCUGGCUUGGGCAGCACUUUAUCUCAGGCUAUUCCAAUGCAUUGAGAGAAGCUUUCUUUUAGUGUCAUUUUUAAAAAGAGCAACACACUUGAUGGUAUGUGUGCAUACAUUUAUUUGAGACCACUGGACACACAGCUUCAGAGACUUGUGAGGCAAGAAGGGAGAGGCGGCAAGGGACAGCCAUCCUCCCCACACCCAGCGUCCUCUCCAAAACAAGAAAAUCAGAAAGUUGACAUGGCAUGCCUGAUUGGAAGAAAAGCUACUACUGCAGGAGCGGCUGGGAAGGCCACGCUGGCAGACUCUGGGUUCCUGGAUUUGCUGUUCUCACCCAGAGAGGGGGCAGCAGGUUUCCUGGCCUCUGUUGACCCCGUGGAGGAGGCUCAACGAGUUUGGGUUAAGAGGUGGCACUGUCAUCUCUGUCACUCAGACGGUGCAUUGCCUGACGCCUGCAUCCUCCAGCACGCCUCUUCUGCCCAGGUUACAUGCCUCCUGUAGGAGACCUUCCCAGGACACUUUUCUGUUCCCUGCUCUCCAGGGGGGCUCCUCCCAAAAGUGGCCAUUCCUUGUCUGAAUGGCUGUCUCAUGUUGGCCGCAACCAGCCACACAUGGUUACACACUGCGUGUACUGGGAAGGUCCAGAAUGUUCUGGGACAAAGUCGAUGGACACACCAAAUCUGGGGUGGUCCCGUGGAAGUCCCAUUCACUCCCACCACUCAUCAGCUGUGCACUGGGAGGACGCUGGGGACCCCUAGCCUAGGACCAGAAGGAAAGGGUGAAGUGACUUGGCCAGGCCAUGUGGCUGGUCUGGGAAGCCCCUUCCUGCACCUGCCCCCACUCCCCAGUCCCCCGAUGGAGCCCCCGGGGGCAGCAGGGAGAUGGAGGGAGGUGUUUGUUCUGGUUUUUGGAGACUGAAAUGGCUACCGACUUGAUUUCCCCAGACCCUGGAACCAGCGAGGGCUCAGGAGGAUGGGUGAGCUCUGGACCGAGGCGGCGUCCGCCCGGUGUGAUCUCAGAAGCAGCUUCGUGCCUGCGUCCCGAGGAGCCUGGGGAGCCGGGUCCCUCUCCCAGGCCCCUUCUCUGUGCGCGCUGCAGCGUCAGACCCGCGGCCGCUCAGUCCCCUUUGCCUGCUUCGGAAGCAGCAAAUCUCUGGAUCGCGGCCCUAGACGCUCCUGGGAACGUAGAGUCCAGGGCCAAAACGCGCAGAUUGGGAAGAAAAGGAAAGCAGAGCGGCUCCCCGCGGCCGCGGGGGCGUGGGAUGGCUGCGCCUCGGGCCGCAUUCCCGGAGGGCGCGCAGGCCUCUCCCUCCUCCUUUCUCUCCCCCUCCCCCUCAAUGUCUCCUUUCCCUUUAUUUGUCUCUAUUUGCCCCGUCUCUCUUUCUCUUUCAUCUUUGCAUCUCCACCUCCAUCUCCCUUCCUGCUCCCCAGCGUUCCUGGGGAGCUCCUAGCCCCGCAUCGCGGCCGGCUAGUUGUGGCCGGACUUUGGCCGAGAGAGCGCCGUCCGCUUCCCUCCGGGGCCGAGGUCCCCACACCCCCGGCCCGCCAGUGCGCCCCAGGCUCGGCUUGGCACAGCACCCCGCGCGCCCUGGGGAGAGCGGCCCAGAGAGCGGCGGGCUGCAGGGUCCCCCGUGGUGGCUCGUUCCCCGGGGGCAGGGUAGGCGGCGGGGGUGGGGUCGACAGUGGCCUUGGGCGCACCCCCCGUCGUCCCCGCGGCAGGUGGCGGGGCGUGCGCUGGGACUGUUCGCCCGAGCCGGGUCGGACGCGGCGGCGGGCAGUGGAGGCCCGGGCCCUCGGGCGAUGCCGGCCCCCAAGUCUGCGGCCCCGGCCCCCAAGUCCCCACUCCCCCAGCGCCGCGCCGCCGCGUCCAGGGCUCUCCCUGCGGGAACCCGGACACCCCGGCUUCCCUGUCCUUUCCUCGCAUUUUCUAUCGAUCAGUGUAACUCCUGUGAUGCCUUUGGAAUGUUUCCUUUUCAUUUCCCUCCGCGUGAUUUUGUCUGUUGCCACGUUCUGUUCCUUUCACGUGCAUUUAUUUUGUUCCUCUUUUUCUUAUGCUUCCGAAUCUCUUUUCUUUGCUCACUUCUAGCCUGGACGCUUCUUCCUAUUUAUUUAUUUAUUUAUUUAUUAUUUUAUUAUUAUUAUUUUAAUAUGUCCCGCGACCGCAAAGCUUUCGCAGUGUCCGCGCCGGGGAGAGGGGCGAAUGGCUCCCAAGGCGUCGCCCUUCCGCGCCGCCGCCGCCGCAGCCGCAGCCGUGUCGCUGAGCUCGGACUUUGUCGAAAGCGGGAGCCGAGCGGCUCUCCCCGCCAGAGCGCCCAGCCGAGCCGGGGAGCUGUCGUGUUCCGGCCUGGGCCUGGGCCAGACCCGCAGUUCACACGGACGACACUCACUGGGAUUUUGAGGGCCUGUUGACCAACACCCUCAACUCCUCCUACCCCCACUCCAGGGAGGCUGCAGCACUGCAACACGCAGCCAACAACCAACACAGGUCACACAGACAGCCCCAGGCACAUACCUAUAACACACAGCGUGCACACAAACGGGCUCUUGGUGGACAGGCUCAUCCGUGCGCACCAUGGUGGACGCUGCAGAUAGACAGGGCUUGAGACAGGAAAACUGCUCCUUGGUGCAGCAGCCCUGGGGGAAUUUCAACCUAACGCAACCCACCUGGGACUCAGCAGCCGGAAAGGGGCCUGCCUGGUCUCACCAGCCUGCACAACAGUGGCCUAGCACCCAUACCCACAACCACCAGAGUUCAGUCCCUCUCCCUGGACUGCUGGGGGUGGGGGUGGGAGUGGCCCGUGUUCCAGCACCGGCUGACAGUGUAGAUGAGGGGCACAGUGAAUUCCAGGAUCCUGAGCCCCAGAAGUGAGCAUCAGACCUGGGGAGCUCUGCAUGGGGCAGACAGAAAUGGGCACCACACCGGGAAGUGACACCGCAAUGCAGGGUUGAUGUGGGUGCCAGCGUGCAUUCUGUGCCACGUUUGUCACACGCCGGGCCAGCAUCUGGCCAGGUGCCCAUACCUAGAUGGUUAUUUACGUGAAAACAAGGAGAGGAGCUGUGUGUGAUUCUGUGUAACCUGGGUGUACAAAUAGAGGCAGCAAUAUUACACCUAGGGAGAGAUGGAAAGUCUUCCCAGUGCAGGGUGCUAUUAGCAAGCUGGAGCGCUAGCCAGUGUCCAGGGCAAGGGAGGUCUGGUGGUUUGCUGUCACGGGGACCUGUGUGAUCAGGCUGGUUUAUGGGAGAACCAUGUGCCUCUGAUACAUCAUCAGGCUACCAAAGGGGGCGGAUUUUUGCAGCUUUAGGGGGGACCCUGGGGUCAAUGGGGGCCGUCUGAGCCACAUCCCCACCAGACCUGAAGGAUGCCCUAUGCUAUAGCAGCAGUGAGCGUGGUAGCCGGUCCACACAAAGAUAUCAGUGUAUACUCACUGCGCGCUGGGUGAACACCUACACCUGCUCCUGACACACUCGGGCCUGCUCCACGUACGACAGGUGCCAACAAAGGAGCCCAGUAAGAGGCAUGCCACGUGCGGCCACGGAUUGGAUUGCCAAGGAGAUGAAUCUUGUAGGAUGGAAGAGGAGGCUAAGAGAUGUCCGUGCGUGCACACACAGAACGCCCUAGGUUUGGAGCUUAGUUACUGACACAGGAAAGUGCGGGCAGGUGCCUCAGUCUACAGCAUUGUCCAGGGAGGGGUCGAUCUGCUGUCCAAGUGACUCCCGGAUUAUUCUGCGUGCAGGGGUAUGCCUAGGGAAGUUGCAAACCUACUCGCCCACUUCUGCUCUGCGGCUGGCUGUGGGAGGAACAGGCCAGAGCGAGGACUCCACCCCAGGUCUCUAAUGUGAGUUGGGGAAUGGAGAGGCUGGCCCCCGGGGGCCCUAGCUGCCAGGCUCAGUGUGGGCGCUGCCUGCGGCCUCCCUGUUCCUUUCUCCGCACUCUCUGCGGGUCUCUGCCCUUCUCUCAAUCUUCUGUUCGGCCACAGAGAGCAGGAAGCAGCCCGACUCAGGAAGAGAGCGGUAUACAGAUCUCUGGUGGAGAAGCGGGCCCGUCUUGCUGGGCUCUCUACAGCUCAUGGGCAAGUGAGAUUUAAAAUGCAUUUAUUUUUAUGCUCCCACAUUCGAAAUCCAUGAACGGUUUUCUUGUAAUCCGCAGCAUUUUCCAUGAACUUUGUAAAGAUCCCUCCCCUCACAUGGUGACGGCAAAUGUUCGUGUUUGUGUAAAAUCUGAGUGCUAAGGACAGCCUCGGAUUUCCUGCCAGGCUUUUGGUCGCUCCCUGUAGGAGUGGGUGUCUCUGUCCCUGGUUCUCUAGGGGAUGCUUUGGCUUCAUUGCGCCCCCUCUGAGGGUCCUUGGGCCCUGCCAGCUUUCUCCCUGCAUCCUGUAGUGGCCUCUCUGGGUCUUGCCUCCUCGGGCGGGCAAAGGCAACUUUGGAGACAAGUGGUCCACAGCCCCAUGGCAAGCAGGAACCUGGAGGGAGACAUCUGAAACUGUACAGAAAGGGCUUUGGGGUCCCUUAAUCCACCUGGGGGUUGGAGGGCUCCUGGGAAUAGAAUGGAAGGAAGGAAGUGGCGAAGCUCUGGAAUCCAGGACGCCGCCCCGUGGCCACCCAGCCAGGCAGAGCCAGAGGUGCCCGGUAGGGCAAGUCCUGGGAACAAUAUGGGGGAAAAUGGUACAAAUUGUAAAGGUUCCUGCUUCCUAACCAAGGUGUAGGUAAGAGGCACAGAGCACGCAAAGGGGGCGGGGGCAAUGCAGCUCCUUAGAGACCCUGGCGCCCGGCGGAGACCUCCUAAGAGAGCCCUGGGCUCUGGGGGAGGCGCUCUGGCUCUGACCGGGUGGGAGGAAGAAGGGACUGGGAUUACAAUUUAUCCCCCAGGUUUGUGCUUCUCAGCCCCUGACUGGAGUGAAUGACUAAGCCCAAAGCUGAGCUGUGAAAACACAGGACAGGGUUUGGUCGUGCGGGCUAGGCUCUGGGUUAGGACUGGCUCAGCUUCCAGAACCAUAGUGGGCGAAGAAGGCCUGCGUCCCCACACCACCCCCAGCCCAGUGAACCAGGAGAGAGCACCACUCCCACCUCCUGAGACAGGCCCCGCCCCCCCCCCUUUGCCCUCCGAUCUGCAUCCUUUGUGCCUCUCUCUGUGUGAGCUCCAGACUCCCCAGCACUGGCUCCCCUGCUCCCGGUGAGCCGGGGCUCCGUCUGUCUCUGGCUCCGUCGCGGCCUCGCAGCUUUGCCCGCUUCAUCUGUCUCUGUUUUCAGGUCUCUGUCUCUCCCUCACAUCCUCCCCUCCCCUCGCCCCCCCACCUCUGUUAAUUCAAAGGCUUCUCACUGAGCUCCUCCCCACUCUUCCCAGAAUAACAGUGAGUAAAAGGAGAUAAAACCCGCCCGCCCAUAGGGUUUUUUUUCUGUCCUACUCCCUUCAGCCCCCUCCUCUGGGGCUCCCACCCCCUCUUCUAAUGUCAGAUAAUUGCUGGUGUGCAGCUCGGAGGAGCCAGAGCUGAUACGGGGUGGGGGGGGGAGGGAGAGAAAUAAAUAAGAAUCUGCCCCCAUUCAGCGUAUAUAGGUUACUCAAUUUGCAUAUAUGCUAAUAAUGCUAUAAUUACCCUGCUGUUCUGGCCUAUGAUCAAGUUCUAUAAAUACAUAGGAUAGCAGAGCUGGGCCUAGCAACACCACCCCCAGAGCGAUGCAGGCUGUGUCCGUGGACCAAGCGCCGGAGCCGCCGCUCUUUGUUACAGCACACCCCCUCGGCUCCUGGGCCAGGCUCUCAGCUACCCUGCCUGUGCGUGGAGGUAGCGCCCAGGCCAGAAGAAAGAUAUGUCUGCAGGAGAAGAGAUUCCAAGUUACCUUGAAUCCUUAGCAUUCAUUUCCAUGAGGAAUGUUCGGGCUAUUUUUUCGAGAAAUCAAUUCCCCCAAAUUGUUGCAUUCGUUGCUAUCGCCUGCAUGCGAGGGCACAUAUAGGCCCACGGUCUGGGGUACAGGUUGGGGGCUAGGGAGAGGAUGCCCCCCCAGCCCCCAGCCCGGGCCUGUUCUGAUGCUUUAGAGAGAAUUCUCUGCGGGAGAGGAAGUGGAGACUCCUUGCCCAGAUCUGUGCCCACCCGCCUGCGCAGGGCCACAGUCUCCCAACACACUCUGCACUCCCGUGGGGAAGAGGGACAUGGGGCAGGGGGGGGCGGGGUGCGGAUUUUUGGGUGAUGGUGGCAGAAGGAUGGGGAAAAGCUUGGAGGAACAUAAAAGACGCCAUCCACAGCUGUCUGCUUUUAAUUAUAAUUAUCCCCUUUCGCUUCCUUUCUGGCUAAUGAGGGGGGGAUUUAAAUUCUCCCCCUCUUCUCCCCCUCCCUCCUUUCCCUGGAAUUGAGGGGUGGGGUGAGUUCAGGGUCCUCCUCCCCUUCCUCCACUAUCCCCUGGUUACUGGGAGAAAGGCAGGCUCUAGAGGGUGGGGACAGUAUGAAGAGAUUUGUCGGAACAAAAGAGGGACAGGUUUGGAUUGCUGCACACGUCCCAGAGUUGGAGAGACCCCCCCCAUUCCACUGGCACCCCCUCCCCUCAACCCCCCAGCUCCCUAGACAAGGAACUCAAUGUCUUGCAGCCGGUGAGAAAGGAGCUAACGGGAGCCCUGCUCUAGAGGGAAGGGGGAGGGACGGGGUGGGGAGGUGGGGGGGUGCAAAAUUAGUCUCAAAGGAUCUUUAUUUCUGAGCUAGUGAGGCAGAUGUAAUCAAGGGGAGAGCAAAAUAAUCAUAAUGGGAGGAACGGGGAGGGGGAGCUGGGGCUGGAGUGGGGGGACGGAGCCGAGAUCAGGCUGAGAACUGGGGGGCAGGGAACAUUGAGUGGGGGGAAGCUACUGCCUUCUUCCACCCCUCUGAGGGGUCCCGACUUGGAGGUGGGGGAAGGAGGACAGAUCUGUAGCCUCUGACCUUAGCCCUCUGAAUCCUCCCCCUGUUGGGAACUUAGGGAUCAUUGGGGGGAGCAGAAGGUAGCUGGGAAGUCACCGGGGAGCAGAGCCUCACCCCCAGUUGAGGGAGGUGGGGGGGUGCUGAAAGCAGUGGGGGAGGGUGAGAGAGGGGAGCCGGCAGAGACUCAAGUGGCCUCCAGGUCUGUGGGACAAAAGUUGGAGGGAGAUUUGUGUAUGAGAGAGGAGGGGAGGGGGCCCUGGGGAAGGGGGGGCUUUGACAAUGAACUUGAGACAAACUUCAUUAGCAUGCAGGCCUGCUGUCUGUCACGUCGAGCUCAGAGCGAGUUCCCAUGCAGGCCAGCAAGAGUGGGAGGGAGCAGAAGGGAGGGGCUGAGGGUGGGGGUGAGAGAGAGAAAAGAGACCCGACCAUUGUACCACUGCGGGCCCCAGCUCCCACCAAAUAUCGGGACCCCAGCCCUGGAAACCGACCCCCAAAUUGCUCUCCCUUCUCUAAGAACAAGAUGAUUUAUCUCCCACUUUGAAUCUGUGGUCCCACCCCCUCCUCUUCUCCUGUCUAGACUGCCAAGUGCUGGCCUUCGUCACCCCCCACUCCAGCCCCCUUCUUGCCAUCGUCUGGAUUUGCCAUCAGUGACACUCCCAGGGAGAGGGGUCUGGGGAGAGGUCUGGGAAGGGGGCACUGGGGCACCCUGAGACUCCCACUGGUGUCUUACUGUGUUUCCCUGUCAGUUCAGCUCCCCCCACCCCCCCCACCCCGCCAAGACCAUUUCAUCACCCCCUCAAGUGCAAGAGUGAAUUAAAACUCCAAGGAGACCUGAGAGGGACGCCUCUGUCACACCCUUUCUCUGGCUGCCUUGGGGGACGAGGGUGGCCUGGAGGAACAAUAGCUUCUCUUAGCCCCUUCUCCCUGGCUCAGGGAGAACAGCAAGAGAAAGAAAGAGAGGCAAACCAAAUUCCUGAAUGGAUAGAUGGAUGCUACGUCAUCGGAGCUGCAGCCUGCACUCCACAAGAGGCUAGGGGCCGGGAGAGGCAGUCCAGCCGCAGGGGCCACCCGACCAGGCUCUCCUCCCCGCGGGCGCCGGGAGCCGGGCACCCAGGAAGCAGCAGCCUUGUUUGUCCUCGGCGGACAGGCGUCAUGGAUGUCCUCGCAGGCUUCUGAAGGCAGAGACAGAGGCCAGUUGACCUUGGAGGAGGUGGUUGGUUGGGGAGAGGAACAGAGGUACCUGGGAAUCCUAGUGGGCGUGUGUGUCAGCAUGGGAAGCCGUGCUGCUGGGAGGAGGAUCUGUGGAUCUGUCUUUGCAUUUGUCUGAGUGGACGGAUGUGAGUGUGUGUGUGUGUGUGUGCCUGUGUGUGCACGUGCAGCCCGCUUAAGGAGGCCAUUUGCUGAUGGCUGAGGAGCCUCUAGAAAGGGCACCGAUUGGACAGACCAGAAACCCUCUGCCAUCUUGUUCUCACCCCCCUGGCACUAUGGGGCUCUCAGGCCAGUGAGUGGUGUGCGGGCACAGCAGGCAGAAGAGCCAGUAGGACAUGACCUCCAUGUACUCUGUUUGGGUAGAUACGCACACAUGCAUGCACACACACACAUAUUUGUUGCAUAGUCUCAGCAUUUUCUGUUGGCAAUUUUCACUUUUAUUUGUCACUGUCCCACACAGUGCAAAUAUCCUACAGCAAAUUAAUACUGUAUGAUAGCAUUCACGGUAAAGAUGCACCUGUAAGACAGGAAUCAAUCAAUAUCUUCACCCACCUUCCCCCAGAAGCAGCUUUCGUCUAUGUCCUCAAGGCAAAUUAACCUAGUAAUAGAAACAAAGAAAAAAUUACGCUUUUCAUUUAAUUACCUGGAUAGUUCAAGAGGAUGCCUUCCUGCCAAAAUGUGUUUGGGGACCUGAAUCAUAAGGAUCUGUCCAAAAGCUGCAUCCAGAGAGCCUCGUGCAGGCCAUGUUUUUCUCCAUCUAGGCCUCUUCAAGCUCACAGACAAUAGGUGGGCAUCAGGGCUGCAGGGGUGGGGGUGGGGAGGACAGUGGCAGAGAAUGCGGGCUCCCAGGCUAGUGGAGACCCCUCCAGUUCAGCACCAGGGAUGCAGUGCGUUCUCCCCACGGCCCCCAGCAUUUCCCUGGAAAGACUCAGGGUGGGGUCUGCAGACCAUUGCUCUGUGGGCUGACUGCUCUGUGCAGGAAGCAGAGGGUUCCACUCCUCCUCCGGCGGGGGGCCUUCCUAGAGAGACUGUGGCCGGCCAAUGGGUCUCGCCCAAAAUGCCUCUCCUGCACCCACAUCGCUCCAGCUCUCAGCCUCUCACAGGUCUGCCCUACCCAGCCCAUAAAAGGGUCUAGGCUGCAGAACAGUCGAGAACACGGAAUAGGACAGACAUCACUGCCCCCACGCCUCCCUCCUACACACACCCAUACACAGACCCCACAGAACACAGCCUAUCCUCACCCUCCUUCCACACCUACCCCUACCAUGCCUGCUACGAAUGAUGGCAGACCCAGACCCACAGGUGCACCCACAGGCACACACACACACCUUUAUUGGUUUAUCAGUGGGCACCUAUAAUGUUUGAUGCAGACUUUGCUGCAAAGUUUGCCUUCUUUACUUCCUCCCGGGCCACGAAAAUGCAUAAAAUGGCCCCUGCUCUGGCGACACUGUCUCAUUUGCUACCCUCAAAGUAGUUUUGUGUCUGAAACUAGAAUGGCAGGGCUUGGCUCGCAAACCGAUCCCCAUUCACAGGAAGCGGGAGGGGCCCUGUGUCCCUGCCUUAAGGCUCUAUCCCCAUCGGAACAGAUAGACACCCUCUCACCUUCAUCUCCGAGGCAGGCGGCAGGCGAGGCAGUGGGAGACUGGGUUGUUAAGCAAUGCCCAAAGUCAAACAAAAAGGGACCUCAUCAGGAUUCCGGCCAGAGGUGUGGACUCCGUGGGACAGAGCCAGUUUCUUUGUGGGGCCUCUCUCUUUCUUGCAUUUGAACACUGCUGGGGUGGAACCCGAAGCCACAGCAAAAGGCAUGGCGAUCUUGCUGGUUCUCUGGACAUUUGGGGAAACUGAGCUAUCUGUGGGGGAGGAGGCUGAUGUGUGUCUGUGCAAGUGCGGGCCUGUUUAGAAUUGCUGGCAUGUGUGUGUGUGGUGGGGUCGGACGCCUGCUAGAGGAGUGUGAGUGGAAAACAGAAGUUCUGAGGGCUGGGAGGUGUGGCGAGACCAGGCUGAGGGGUCCCUAGCUUCUUGGAGCUCAGUGAGGCUCUGUUUGGGGAGUGUAUUGGCAGCAGCCAGGAGGAAGGUCCAUCUGUAACAACAAUGGGGAAGGUGCCAUUUUUUCUGCGGCUGCACUGGGGCAUCAGGGACCCCACACCUCCUCUCUUCCCUGAUCCUGAGCUACAGGGCAAACUGGGAGGGGCGUGGGAGGGUGCCAAGUGGGGAGUGGACACCCUGUCUCUUUCCUGCCUUCCUCACCAAUGUUUGGUGUGCUCGCCUUUCUGGGAGGGGGAAGAAUUGAUGCCGUGGAAGCUGCUACAAAGCUCUUCCCUUGGUUAAGGGCCUUGAGACCCCGUAGAGGCUGACAGAGGGGAAAAGCUGUGCCGAGUCUCGCCCCAAGAAUGCCCUGAGACCUGGGGAAAUCCAGCCAUUAGCUUCAUCCCUGUACUAUCACUGCGGCAGGGAAGCACACAGCCCCGGCCUCCAUCUGGUCUCGCCCCGCAGUCCUGGGUCCUGUGGCCAACACCAAAGGAAGGGAUUGCCCAGAGGGUCUCCAAAUUUGGAGGGAUCACCAAGUGAGUCCUAUUGGCUUGAAUCUAACCAAGGCAAAUAGCAUUCAGGCUUGGCUUUGUCCAGGAGCAGGCCAUGUAGACCGUACAUAAAACAAUCUGGUCAGGAAUGAGGACCAGACCACCAACCCCCCCACCUGGAGCUCACUGCUGGUGACUGAGUGUUCAAGAGUCCUUGCUUGUAGGAGCCCACCUGUGCCAAGCUGGUCAGAAACCUGAGUCGUAGAGUUUUUUUGUUUUUGUUUUUUUGUUUUGUUUUGUUUUUUGUGUGUGUGUGUGUGUGUGUGUUUUUUUUUAAGCAGAUGAGCGAGAGAGUAGGUGAGUGGAAGGGUGGUGUACUCAGGUCGGGGACCCCUCAGGUAGGGGCCUGCAGAUCUCCCCCAACUCCUCCAGGGUGGAGAAUCAGACCAGCAGGUGUGCAUUCCCCAGGGUUGGGACAGCACAUUAUCUGCUCUGAUUCUCCAGGCUCAGAGGCAGAGCCAGGCAGGAAUGUCGGGCUGGGCCAGAUGGGGAACUUGCUGGAGGGCGAUCCUCGUCCCUGUGACUUGAGUGCUCCAGCCACUGGGAGCGGGAGUGCAGGUGGGUGUAGGGGUGCAGGGCUGGGGGGAGCACAGAGUGGCAGAAGGGAGAGCAGGCGCCAGCACGGGCUUCCACAGCCAGAUCAGAUUCUCCCAGUCGGGCCGGCUGAGAUCUUCACCCCAGGCUCCCCCGUCCUUAAACUCUGGUGCUGCAAACGGGUUCAGGUGUUGCCCACUCUGCCAGGCAGGAAAGGCGGCUCAGCUCCGCCUGCCGCAUCUCCCGGGAGGAACCCCUGACUCUUUCCCUCACUGCUUCGGGUUGAAAGCCAACAAGAGAGGUUCCUGCCCAUCCUAAAAAAGACUAGAAUGGCAGCCUGGGAAGGAUCAGAGCUGAGAAGCACAAACAACCUGCUGUAGGAGGCAGGUAGGGGUAGAGCCCCUGGUCAUCGGAUUCUUUCGGGCGGGGGAAUUCGCCCAUCGCUUCCAUCUGUGCGCCCGCGGCAGACCUAGGGCCAGGAAAAAUGUGAGACUUACAGAAAGAGUGAGAUUGGAGAUCAAAGCCACAAAUGGCAACGGAUUGAAGAUGGCAGGAGGGUCUGGGGGUUAGGGAGGCAGCAAGAGGCUGAGAAUCAGCGCGCAGACACCGUCGUUACCACCCACCCCCAUCCUGGGAUGGGGGGAGGGCGCCCCAAUUGCGCGCCAGGGCCCGGCCUGGGAAGGGGGAGGGGCGGGUCCGGCGGGGGAACGAGGCGUUAACGUCAGACUGCGUAGAGCCAAUCAGAGGCUAGCUUGGGGAGGGAGCGUGAAAGGAUGAAUGAAAAGUCCGGAGCCGGAGCGCGCCGGGGCCAGAGCGGCGGCAGAAGGCGAGGAGGGAGCCGGAGAGGCGAGAGCUGCUUCACCCUGCUCACCCUGGCUCGGCGGAGACUAAGAGCAGCGCGGGCUUCUUCGCCUUGGAGCCGCUGAGCCCCGGCACCCGGGAGCCUGGUCCGUGGCGCUCCAUGGGCGGGAACCAGCUGGGAGAACCACGCGGGAGUGUGCGGAUAGGCGUCCUGGGCUCGAUCACUGGGCGGUAGCUGCUUUGAACCCCGUUGUACAGAUGAGGAGCCAUGAGCUCACUGAUGUCACUCAAUGGUUUCAGACCCAAGGCUCAUCCAGUAAAUUUCCCCAUGGGAAGAGCUGGAGAAGGAAUGAGGAUCUCCAAAGGAGGACAGAGGUGCUGAGGGACUUGCGGAGGUCCCCUGGGGGGUUUGCCCUCUACAGAACUAGCACCUCCGUGGAGAGGGGAGCAGUGGCCAGGAGGGAUGUGAGCUUCUUACUUGGGGUGGGUGGGUGUUCCACCACCCUCCAGCCCUCUUUCCUCCACGUGGACAGCAGACCCUCAUCCAGCACCACGGACAGCUCCCGGGUGGUAGAGACAGAGACAAAGAGAGACCUUCCAUCUGUUGGUUCACUCUCCAACUGCCUGCAGCAAGGGGCUGGGCCAGGCCAAAGCCAAGAACCAGGAACCCAAGCCAGGUCUCCCACAUGGGUGAUGGAGACCCAGCCACCUCAACCCAGGGGAAUUUCCUGAUCUUGUUUUCUUCGGUUUGGGAAGUCCUUCCCAAUGGCUCACCCAGAUCUGUCCAGCUGCAAGCACCACCAGGUCACUGACCCCUGGUUUGACGUGGCUGCCUUGAGAGACUUGAAGGCUCUUGGAGAAGUUGUGUGAAGUGACCUUUGGGGGCCUCCUACGCUGCUGUCCCCCAAGUCUGCACAGGCCGGGUUGAAGACAGGACUGGGGAGGCGGUCCCGGGGCUGCGGAAGUCACCCACAGUGUACCAGCCCAAAAAGGAGGACCUGCUUCACCCAGCUGCCUUAGGCUCCCCCUCGGAGAAAUGAGCUGAAGCCCUAGCAAUCUGCACCUGCCUGGUCCUCGCACACCCCCCACCCCGGCCCCAGCCGGGCAGCCCAUGGUGCCUGCAGCCCUGCAGGAUAAGACCUGGCUUAUCCCGCGGCUCCCAUGUCCACUGGCUGCCUACCCCUGCCCACCCUGCUUUGUCCUCACCCUGAGCUGGAAGCCCUGUCUUGUGUCUAAUAAAGACUCUUGAUCGCUGA